GGAAACUCCUGCUCCCAUCACAGAGCCACAAUUCACAGUGGUUUAACCCAAUCCCUGUUCACAGUGAAUUAUGGGAAUUGUAGCUCUGUGAGGGGAGUAGGGGUCUU